UAGGGAAUCUUCCACAAUGGGCGCAAGCCUGAUGGAGCAACACCGCGUGAGUGAAGAAGGGUUUCGGCUCGUAAAACUCUGUUGUUAAAGAAGAACGUGGGUAAGAGUAACUGUUUACCCAGUGACGGUAUUUAACCAGAAAGUCACGGCUAACUACGUGCCAG
rnacentral:rRNA from 1 species